rnacentral:rRNA from 1 species
UCAGAACGAACGCUGGCGGCAGGCCUAACACAUGCAAGUCGAACGAUAAGCCACCUUCGGGUGGUGGAAAGUGGCGCACGGGUGAGUAACGCGUGGGAACCUACCCAGGGGUACGGAAUAACUCAGGGAACUUGAGCUAAUACCGUAUACACCUUACGAGGGAAAGAUUUAUCGCCCCUGGACGGGCCCGCGUCGGAUUAGCUAGUUGGUGAGGUAAUGGCUCACCAAGGCUACGAUCCGUAGCUGGUCUGAGAGGAUGAUCAGCCACACUGGAACUGAGACACGGUCCAGACUCCUACGGGAGGCAGCAGUGGGGAAUAUUGGGCAAUGGGCGCAAGCCUGACCCAACCAUGCCGCGUGGGUGAAGAAGGUCUUAGGAUUGUAAAGCCCUUUCAGCAGGGAAGAUGAUGACGGUACCUGCAGAAGAAGCCCCGGCUAACUCCGUG